UACGUAGGGUGCAAGCGUUGUCCGGAUUUAUUGGGCGUAAAGAGCUCGUAGGCGGUUCGAUAAGUCGGGUGUGAAACCUCCAGGCUCAACCUGGAGACGCCACCCGAUACUGUCGUGACUAGAGUCCAGUAGGGAGCGUGGAAUUCCUGGUGUAGCGGUGAAAUGCGCAGAUAUCAGGAGGAACACCAGCGGCGAAGGCGGCGCUCUGGGCUGGCACUGACGCUGAGGAGCGAAAGCGUGGGUAGCGAACAGG
rnacentral:rRNA from 1 species